GGCGACAUAGCCAAGCGGUAAGGCGUGGGUCUGCAACACCCUGAUUCACCAGUUCAAAUCUGGUUGUCGCCUCUA
rnacentral:tRNA from 2 species